rnacentral:rRNA from 1 species
UACGGGGGGGGCAAGCGUUGUUCGGAAUUACUGGGCGUAAAGGGCUCGUAGGCGGCCAACUAAGUCAGACGUGAAAUCCCUCGGCUUAACCGGGGAACUGCGUCUGAUACUGGAUGGCUUGAGUUUGGGAGAGGGAUGCGGAAUUCCAGGUGUAGCGGUGAAAUGCGUAGAGAUCGGGAAGAACAUCGGUGGCGAAAGCGCUCUGCUGGACUGCAACUGACACUCAGGGACGAAAGCUAGGGGAGCGAAUGGG